CUUUACUGCAGCUUCGCCUUGGCGUUAGCAGCAACAUGUGUAGGAUAGGUGGGAGGCUAUGAAACAGGGGCGCCAGUCCCUGCGGAGCCAUCCUUGAAAUACCACCCUUAUUGUUGCUGACGUCUAACCGCGGCCCGUUAUCCGGGUCCGGGACAUGGCGUGGCGGGCAGUUUGACUGGGGCGGUCGCCUCCCAAAGUGUAACGGAGGCGCGCGAUGGUGGGCUCAGACCGGUCGGAAAUCGGUCGUCGAGUGCAAUGGCAUAAGCCCGCCUGACUGCGAGACUGACAAGUCGAGCAGAGACGAAAGUCGGCCAUAGUGAUCCGGUGGUCCUGCGUGGAAGGGCCAUCGCUCAACGAAUAAAAGGUA
rnacentral:rRNA from 1 species